rnacentral:rRNA from 1 species
CUCGUAAGAGCAAAGGCAGGGGGACCUUCGGGCCUUGCGCUACCGGAUAUGCCCAGGUGGGAUUAGCUAGUUGGUGAGGUAAGGGCUCACCAAGGCGACGAUCCCUAGCUGGUCUGAGAGGAUGAUCAGCCACACUGGAACUGAGACACGGUCCAGACUCCUACGGGAGGCAGCAGUGGGGAAUAUUGCACAAUGGGCGCAAGCCUGAUGCAGCCAUGCCGCGUGUAUGAAGAAGGCCUUCGG